GACAGAGGCCUCAAGCGUUAGGCGGAAUCACUGGGCUUAAAGCGUGUGUAGGCGGAUCGUUAAGUGUCUUGUGAAAUCCCACGGCUCACCCGUGGAACUGCUGGGCAUACUGGCGAUCUUGGGCCAACUAGGGGCAGCCGGAACAAGCGGUGGAGCGGUGAAAUGCGUAGAUAUCGCUUGGAACGCCGAAGGUGAAAACAGGCUGCUGGGGUUGUGCCGACGCUGAGACACGAAAGCCAGGGAGCAAACGGG
rnacentral:rRNA from 1 species